GAAUUGCGAAAAGUAGUGUGACUUGCAAUGCUCGUGAACCAUCGAAUCUUUGAACGCACAUUGCGCUUCGCGGCCCAUCCGUGGAGCAUGCCUGGUUGAGUGUCCGUAAACCCACUCUCUCUCCACCAUUUGUUUGGCGGCGAGGGGAUAUAUGGAGUAACAUUUUUUUGUUAGCAAAGGCGGCACAGCCUUCGCACUCUGCAAUGUAGGUGAAGCCUCCUAGGAUUAUCGAUAAGAAUAAUCCCCUGCGCAAAAGCCUGGGGAGAUUCCGAUUAUUUUGGCGUCGUAGCCUUUGUGCCUAGCGCCAGAGUUUUACAUGUCGUGAAUCUCACGUUUUUU
rnacentral:misc_RNA from 1 species